rnacentral:rRNA from 1 species
AUUGAACGCUGGCGGCAGGCCUAACACAUGCAAGUCGAGCGGAUGAGUGGAGCUUGCUCCAUGAUUCAGCGGCGGACGGGUGAGUAAUGCCUAGGAAUCUGCCUGGUAGUGGGGGACAACGUUUCGAAAGGAACGCUAAUACCGCAUACGUCCUACGGGAGAAAGUGGGGGAUCUUCGGACCUCACGCUAUCAGAUGAGCCUAGGUCGGAUUAGCUAGUUGGUGAGGUAAAGGCUCACCAAGGCGACGAUCCGUAACUGGUCUGAGAGGAUGAUCAGUCACGCUGGAACUGAGACACGGUCCAGACUCCUACGGGAGGCAGCAGUGGGGAAUAUCGGACAAUGGGCGAAAGCCUGAUCCAGCCAUGCCGCGUGUGUGAAGAAGGUCUUCGGAUUGUAAAGCACUUUAAGUUGGGAGGAAGGGCAGUAAGUUAAUACCUUGCUGUUUUGACGUUACCAACAGAAUAAGCACCGGCUAACUUCGUGCCAGCCGCCGCGGUAAAAC